rnacentral:SRP_RNA from 1 species
ACGGCCUCGAGAUGGACCUGCGGGACAGCUUCCACGCGGCGGACCACAUGGUCUUCGAAAAGCCCUGCUUCGCGCCCGAGAAGGCCAGCGCAAGCGAGGCGG